UAUGAUGAAGAAUGGAGCAGCAUUAUGCAUCAGAUUUCUUUACUAAAAAAAUGAUCGAAAUACAAAGAUUAACCAUUUUCAGAACCGCUACACUGAUU
rnacentral:snoRNA from 1 species